GUGUGUGUGUGUGUGUGUGUGGAUUGCUUAUUACCAUUGCAUAUCAGUUGUUGAAGAUGAUAUCUCUUCAAUUAUGAUACCGAAUAAACCGUACACUAGGGAAUUGAAUUGAGGAUAUAUUAGGAUGUUUGAGAAUUUAAAAAAGUUGAAGGUUAUGUACUUGAAUUGUGCAUGAGGUACGCUUAUAUGGAUGCUUCUUGUUUCGUAGUUUAAAGAAGCUUGUGAAGGUUCAAAUGAAAAAGACAAAAACUCCAUUGGUUGUGUUACAGGGUUGAAGCUCUAUGUUAAAAAAAAAAAGUUCAUUGGUUGUUUUUCUUCUUCAAUUGCAGUUUAGUUUGUUGGUUCCAUGUUUGUCCUUCAUGGGGAAUUCCCUUGAGGUUUUCAAAGCCAAGUUUGGAUCAAGUGAAAAUGAUUCUUUCUGACGGAAUAUUAUGGUAGGUUUGUUCCACCAUCUUGCAUUAUCGCUGAGGCUAAGCCCUUCAAUGGUGGUUGGUUUAGCUAGCUAACCCUAACCAUGAUUAGGUUUUAGAGAGAAUAAGGGAAAAUUGGAAAGAGAGAACUAACAAAUCAAAGAUCAACCAAAAGAGCCAAUUUUCUGUUUACACAGCUCAACUCAACUAAGCUUUGAUCUAAAAAUUUUGAGUCGGCUAUAUGGAUUCUCUUU
rnacentral:misc_RNA from 1 species